UGGGGAAUUUUGGACAAUGGGGGAAACCCUGAUGCAGCCAUGCCGCGUGUGUGAAGAAGGCCUUCGGGUUGUAAAGCACUUUCAGCGAGGAGGAAAGGUUGGUAGCUAAUAACUGCCAGCUGUGACGUUACUCGCAGAAGAAGCACCGGCUAACUCCGUGCCAGCAGCCGCGGUAAUACGGAGGGUGCAAGCGUUAAUCGGAAUUACUGGGCGUAAAGCGCACGCAGGCGGUUGGAUAAGUUAGAUGUGAAAGCCCCGGGCUCAACCUGGGAAUUGCAUUUAAAACUGUCCAGCUAGAGUCUUGUAGAGGGGGGUAGAAUUCCAGGUGUAGCGGUGAAAUGCGUAGAGAUCUGGAGGAAUACCGGUGGCGAAGGCGGCCCCCUGGACAAAGACUGACGCUCAGGUGCGAAAGCGUGGGGAGCAAACA
rnacentral:rRNA from 1 species